CUUAGACCCACACUAUCCCAUGGGUGCUCAUCCACAGGGAUGAUCCCUAUGCAAGUAUAGAGGCUUGCAAGCUUGGGCACCAAGGUAGUAACUCUCUUUUAGUCCACACGCACACCUCCAGUCUCUUCCCCAGGGUGGAAACAGGCCACAAGCUGGCCCCAUUAGUGCCCAGGCAGGUCUGGUUCCAGGCCCUCAUGCAGACUGCGAACCACUGUCUCCACUUCUCCAUCUCCGCCACCUCUCUGGCUGCCCAUAGCCUCCAGGUCCACUUGUGUUAAAAGUGUGUCAAUCAGCAGACUCCAGGAUUCCCAUACAACAGAGCCAGUCUGCAGUGCUACCCAACUUCUUGCAGCAAUCAAGACCUGGUCAAGAUGUUUAGAGGCCUUAAACACUGAGACUGUUAAGAUGUCACCCUAGUACGUAUCUCAAAUAAAAC
rnacentral:lncRNA from 10 species